CGCGCCGGGGCGAGGUGGCGGCCUGUGGCUCCCCCGCUCCUGCCGGCGGCCCCCUUCCCCCGCUCCACCGCCGCGCUCCCAUUUCCGGCUUCCCAGGUCCCCUCCCCCAACGAGGCGGCGGGGGUGCCCUACGCACUAACCUUCCCGGGGCCCUCCUCAUAGUGGCUCCUACGGACCACAGAGGUCGUGAACCUCCGGAUGCUCUGUCCCAACAUAGCGCCGCUGAAGGUCCUGCGAGAGCCGCGAGCCCCGAGACGGCAGGAACGGCAACACCCCGCGCGCUCCCCUCCGCGACCUUGCUCCUCGGCGCGCCGGGGCCGAAGGGGAAGAUGGGAAGCGGGGAGCGACCGCAGAGAAGACCAGAGGGCGGUGUCCGAGGAUUGUGGGAAUCGUAGUCCAGAGAGCGCACCGCCGCGUCGGCUCUGAAGGAUUAUGGGACAUGUAGUCCGACGCGGGAGCCGGGCCCCGGAGGGACGAGCCCGGGCGCGGGUGGGGGCGGCCCGGAGAGCCUACCGCGUUGGAUUCACACCUGAGCGAUUUUACUGGAUUUAGGGACGCAGUUUCGCUGGGUUUAUGAGGCACAAAAAUAAACCUUUCCAAGCUCUACUAGUGUGGUGAUCCUUUGUAUGACUAGAUCGGCUACCCUAGCUCUGCGGGAGGCACCUGCCGGGCCGCGCUCGGCCAGCGCACCUGCAGGUGCCGGAGGACGCCUCAACACUGAGCUCAGGGGCGGGGCGGAGGGGAGGAGUCCUGAAAACAGGGUCACUGAGUGGAACAGGAGACACAGGGCGGAGCAAACUCCAAUCCACUCCUAAUAGAGGCUACAGGACCUCAAGUUUCUCUAAAUGUCCCCCUCAGGGCUCGUAUGUAUUAAAGGAUUUUGAUUUAACUAUAAUCGGGGAAACAUUUUCACUUCGAGCAUUUCUGGAUCGUCCUUUGCAGUCUAAUGCAGUCUGAAUCAGAUGUUCAGCACGUGAUCUUCCACAUGGUAUACUCAAGUGUCAUCAUCCUCUGUGCUCCACUCAAUCCUCUGGAUUGACUCUGCCUGCCACGAUGCUAAGAAAGAGAAAGUAGAGGCUCACACAGGGUUGUUCACGGACCAGAAAUCCUAUCCUGAAGGAAGGAAAUGGCGGGAGAGGAUAGACCUAAAGGUAAUUCAUGG